rnacentral:rRNA from 1 species
UACGUAGGGGGGCAAGCGUUGUCCGGAAUCAUUGGGCGUAAAGCGCGUGUAGGCGGUCCGGUAAGUCCGCUGUGAAAGUCGGGGGGCUCAACCCUCGAAUGCCGGUGGAUACUGUCGGGCUAGAGUGCGGAAGAGGCGAGUGGAAUUCCUGGUGUAGCGGUGAAAAUGCGCAGAUAUCAGGAGGAACACCUAUUGCGAAGGCAGCUCGCUGGGACGUAACUGACGCUGAGACGCGAAAAGCGUGGGGGAGCAAACAGG